rnacentral:rRNA from 1 species
UACGACUACAUAUCAGGCAUAUCAAUAAGCGGAGGAAAAGAAACUAACUAGGAUUCCCUCAGUAACGGCGAGUGAAGCGGGAAGAGCUCAAAUUUGAAAUCUUCAAGGUUCUACCUUGACGAAUUGUAGUUUAAAGAAGUGUUUUCUGUUGGAGUUUUGGUAAAAGUUCUUUGGAAUAGGACAUCAUAGAGGGUGAGAAUCCCGUAUUUGACCAUUAUUUCCAGCUUUGUGAUACACUUUCAAAGAGUCGGAUUGUUUGGGAAUGCAGUCCAAAAUGGGUGGUAAAUUUCAUCUAAAGCUAAAUAUUGGCGAGAGACCGAUAGCGAACAAGUACCGUGAGGGAAAGAUGAAAAGAACUUUGAAAAGAGAGUUAAACAGUACGUGAAAUUGUCAAAAGGGAAGCGUUUGACACCAGUGUUGUUUUCUCGAAAAUCAAUUAAAAAAGGCAGGAUUUUGUGUUGUAUUGACUUUAUCAGCUUUCUGCACUCUUUUCUUGUCUUUUUUAAUGCACUUUUCGUUUAACAAGUCAACAUCAAUUUCUUUUGUUGUAAAAGGGUCAUUGGAAGGUGGCUUUCUUUUCGGAGAAAGUGUUUAUAGCCUUUGCUCUCUGCAAUCGGAGAGAUUGAGGUCUGCAGCGUAGAUCCUUCGGGGUUAGAUACAUUUGUGCUAAGCUACAGCUUUUCAUAGACAACUUGUUGACUAUGUUUAGUCUUGUGACUUACCCGCUUAUGCUAUUUUACCUACGCUUAGGAUGUUGAGCGCAUGUCUCUCUCU